CGUGUAGGCGGCCCGAUAAGUCCGCUGUGAAAGUCCAGGGCUCAACCCUGGGAUGCCGGUGGAUACUGUCGGGCUCGAAUCCGGAAGAGGUGAGUGGAAUUCCUGGUGUAGCGGUGAAAUGCGCAGAUAUCAGGAGGAACACCAAUGGCGAAGGCAGCUCACUGGGACGGUAUUGACGCUGAGACGCGAAAGCGUGGGAGCAAACA
rnacentral:rRNA from 1 species